rfam:Vibrio angustum S14 1099604003229 genomic scaffold, whole genome shotgun sequence.
AAAAUGGCGCUAUUAAGCGCCAUUUUUUAUUCAUUCCAUUUAGCGU